rnacentral:rRNA from 1 species
GUUGGCGGCGUGGAUUAGGCAUGCAAGUCGUGCGCGAACCGUAGCAAUACGGGGAGAGCGGCGUAAGGGAGGGGAUAGCAUAGAUACCUACCCCCGGGCCUGGGAUAGCUAUGGGAAACUAUAGGUAAUACCAGAUAAUGUCCCCGGACCAAAGGUGUGAUUCCGUCCGAGGAGGGGUCUAUGCCCUAUUAGCUUGUUGGUGAGGUAAUGGCUCACCAAGGCCAAGAUGGGUACGAGGCGUGAGAGCGUGUCCUCGCUCACUGGGACUGAGACACUGCCCAGACACCUACGGGUGGCUGCAGUCGAGAAUCUUCGGCAAUGGGCGCAAGCCUGACCGAGCGACGCCGCGUGCGGGAUGAAGGCCUUCGGGUUGUAAACCGCUGUCAGUGCGGAGGAAAUAUAGUGGGGUACUCCCCAUUAUUUGACCUAUGCGCAGAGGAAGGACGGGCUAAGUUCGUGCCAGCAGCCGCGGUAAGACGAACCGUCCAAACGUUAUUCGGAAUCACUGGGCUUAAAGGGUGCGUAGGCGGUCCGAUAAGUUGGGUGUGAAAGACCUCGGCCUAACCGAGGAAAUGCGCCCAAAACUGUUGGACUUGAGUAAGGCAGAGGUGAACGGAACUUAGGGUGGAGCGGUGAAAUGCGUUGAUAUCCUAAGGAACACCAGUAGCGAAAAGCGGUUCACUGGGCCUUUUACUGACGCUGAUGCACGAAAGCCAGGGGAGCGAACGGGAUUAGAUACCCCGGUAGUCCUGGCCGUAAACCAUGAGCACUAGAUAGGAGGAACCCCCAUAUUCUUCCUGUCGUAGCGAAAGUGUUAAGUGCUCCGCCUGGGGAGUAUGGUCGCAAGG